CAAAUUGAUUGUACAUUUUAAAAAGAACCGAACAAAAGUUCCCUCUAAUCUGUUUGUAUCUUAUCUGUCCCCGUUUUGUGACAAGUAAUAUCCGCUGGUAAUUAUAACCACUUCAACAGUUAUGCAAAUGACAAUAUUACUCAUUUGCUGAUCUUGAGCAACAUCCGUAGGUGAUAAGGGAUAUCUUUUUACUAAGCGCAUACGAUACAGUCCGACCCCCGCUGAAUAUUUGACGAACAUAAUAUGCAUACGUCAUAUAUUUUCACCAC
rnacentral:lncRNA from 1 species